CAGGCUUAACAGAUGCUCGUCGUGGGGAAACGGCAUUAUGUGCUUGCUCAUUCAGGACGUCCACCGGCGCACGGGUGAGUAUCGCGUAUCAAACCUGCCCCUUACUUGGGGAUACCCCGUUGAAAGACGGCCUAAUACCCGAUGUGUUUCAUUGACGGCAUCCGAUAUGAAAUCCAGGUUUUCCGGUAAGGGAUGGGGAUGCCUCUGAUUAGCUUGUUGGCGGGCCACCGGCCCACCCAGGCGACGAUCAGUAUGGGUUCUGACAGGAAGGUCCCCCACAUUGGAACUGAUACCCGGCCCCCACUCCUACGGCAGGCAGCAGUGAAGAAUAUUGGUCAAUGGACGCAACUCUGAACCAGCCAAGUACCGUGCACGAUGACUGCCCUAUGGGCUGUAAACUGCUUUUAUGUGCGAAUAAAGUGGCGCACGUGUGCGCCAUUGCUUGUACCUCAUGAAUAAUCGACCGGCUAAUUCCGGGGCCAGCAGCCGCAGUAAUACGGAAUGUCCGGGCGUUUAUCCGGAUUUAUUGGGUUUAAAGGGAGGGUGGGCGGUCUGUUAAGCGUGUUGUGAAAAUUUAGGUGCUCAACAUUUAACUUGCAGCGCGAACUGUCAGACUUGAGUACAAGCAGCGCAGGCGGGAAUUUCAUGGUGUAGCGGUGAAAUGCUUAGAUAUCAUGAGGAACUCCGAUCGCGAAGGCAGCCUGCGGGAGUGUUACUGACGCUUAAGCUCGAAGGUGCGGGUAUCGAACAGGAUUAGAUACCCUGGUAGUCCGCACGGUAAACGAUGGAUGCCCGCCGUUGGCGCCGUGCGCUUGCGGCCAAGUGAAAGCAUUAAGCAUCCCACGUGGGGAGUACGCUGGCAACGGUGAAACUCAAAGGAAUUGACGGGGGCCCGCACAAGCGGAGGAACAUGUGGUUUAAUUCGAUGAUACACGAGGAACCUUACCCGGGCUUGAAUUGCAGUCGCUGCCCACAGAGAUGUGGGCUUCCCUUUGGGGCGUCUGUGAAGGUGCUGCAUGGUUGUCGUCAGCUCGUGCUGUGAGGUGUCGGCUUAAGUGCCAUAACGAGCGCAACCCCCUUUCCCAGUUGCCAUCGGGUGAUGCCGGGCACUCUGGGGACACUGCCACCGCAAGGUGCGAGGAAGGUGGGGAUGACGUCAAAUCAGCGUCGGCCGUUACGUCCGGGGCUACACACGUGUUACAAUGGCCGGUACAGAGGGGCGGUGCAAUGCAAGUUGCAUCCAAUCUUGAAAUCCGGUGCCAGUUUGGAGUGGGGUCUGCAACCCGACCCCAUGAAGCUGGAUUUGGUAGUAAUCGUGCAUCAGCCAUGGGGCGGUGAAUACGUUCCCGGGCCUUGUACACACCGCCCGUCAAGCCAUGAAAGCCGGGGGUGCGUGAAGUUCGUGACCGCGAGGAGCGACCUAGGGCAAGACCGGUGAUUGGGGCUAAGUC
rnacentral:rRNA from 1 species